rnacentral:rRNA from 1 species
UAAGAUAAUUCACAAAAGAAAGAGUUUAAUGUUAGCUCCGAAUCAACGCUAUCUAGAGGCAUUACACAUGCAAAUCGUACGUUUAAAGUGGUGAACAGGUGAGUAAAGAUAGAAAUCUACCUAUUCAUAAGGUUAGAUACCUUUUAAAAGAACAAUUGUUUGUGAAUAGAUGAGUCUAAGUGGGGGAGGUAGUUGUGAGGUGAAGAUCCUCCCAAGCCUAAGAACCCUAGUUAUAUUUGAAAGAAUGAAUAACCACAUUGGCUCUGAAACAACAGCCAAGAUUUUCAUCCAAGAAAGUCCAGCAGUGGGGAAUAUUGGUCAAUGAUCGAAAGAUUGAACCAGCUAUCUAGAAGAAUUUGUAUUCUGUUAUUAGAGAGGAUUAUGACGUUAUCUAAUUAAAGUCUCGACCAAUUCUCGUGCCAGCAGUCGCGGUAAGACGAGUGAGGCUAGCGUUAUUCAUAAUUAUUAGGUCUAAAGGGUACGUAGAUGGUUAACUUAUCUGUUAUUUAUGUGUGAAGGAAUUAGUAUUCUAAUUCGUUUUAUUAGUAUUCUAAUUUUUAAUAGAACAUAAAAGAAUUGGAUAAAUUGAUUAACUAGAGUCGAAUAGAAGAAUAAAGAAUUUUAAGAGUAGAGAUGAAAUUCAACGAUACUUAAAGGACUGCCAAUGGCGAAAGCAUUAUUCUAGGUAACGACUGACAUUGAGGUACGUAGGCAUAAGUAGCGAAAAGGAUUAGAUACCCUUGUAGUUUAUGCUGUAAACGAUGAAUGCUAGAGGUCAGAAUUUAUUUAUUUUUGGUCUUUAAGUGAAGAUUUUAAGCAUUCCACCUGAGAAGUACUGUCGCAAGACUGAAACUCAAAACAUUAGACGGUCACAGAGAUCAGCAGUGAAGCAUGUUGUUUAAUUCGAUAACCCACGAUAAAUCUUACCACUUCUUGCAUAUUUUCCUAUUCGGAAUUUACAGGUGUUGCAUGGCUGUCUUUAGUUCGUGUUGUGAAAUGUUAGGUUUAUUCCGAUAACGAACGUAAACCUUGUCCUUAAUUAUUUUAAGGAAAUGUCUAUCGAUAUUAUAGAUGAAUUAGGAUGAAGACAAGUCCUCAUGACCCUUAUGAAGUGGGCUACAGACGUGCUGCAAAAUUUUCUACAAUGGGAUGCAAUGAUGGAAGUCGGAGCUAAUCCCCUAAAAGAUUGUUUAGUCCGGAUAAGUGCCUGGAACUCGGCUCUUUGAAGUUGGAAUUGCUAGUAAUCGUCUAUCAUCAUGAGACGGUGAAUCUUUUAUCUGUGAUGUACUAACUACUCGUCAAGCGCGGAAAUUUUUUAAGAAAUUCAAGUUCUUACGUCCAUUUCUUGGAGAUCUGUGCUAAGUCGAAAUAAGGUAGCUGUAGGGGAACCUGUAGCUGAAUAAUUUGUGUUGUUUAAAUCCCCCCAUCCUUGUG